UGAAGCAAGCAGAGAAGAGGAGCGACAGCUACGGUGAUUGUUCAAGAGCAAGUAAGCAAAGAUUUUAUCUAUAUGGUAUUAAAGAUAUUAAAAUUGAACUUGCAUCUAUCUUCAAUAUCGGACAUGACAUGACUAAAGAUAUUAAAGCAGUUCUUUGUUUUUUCUAAGAUUUAGCACAGGAUAUUUUACGAUGUUAUUGGUGAAAAUGCGGACAGAAAAAAAGGAUGUGGUCAAUAUGGACACAAGAAGGAGAUUUGUCCCCACGUCCAACACCAUAAUGAAGAUGGUAGAGAUAAGCAACAGUCUGGUUGUUCCAAUGAGCCGGAGGAGAUGAAUCUUGAAGUGGCGCCACAUGAAGAAGCUCCUGUGGUUAGACCAUAGGUGGUUGAUCCCUACGGCAAAUGGAUGAUUGCGAACAGGAAGGGAAGGAAGGGGAGUAAAACCCCUGGCAUCACGGGUGCACCUAAUCCCUUUAAUUCAGGGCAGAAAUUUCAGGAAAGUGAUAAAGGAGCAAAAUCUCAGCUGACGGGUAAGGAAACCAUGCUACUUAGGGACUUCAAUGAGAUUCUCUCAUGUUCAGAAAAAGUAGGAGGGGAGCCAGCUGACAUGAGAAGGUGUAUUCGUUUAGGUAAAUGGGUGCAGGAUUGUGGUCUGAUGGAUCUAGCUUGAGACCAACAUUCAGUGGGAAAGGCCAGAGUAGAGAGGGGCAUGGGCAUGUCUAUGAGAGGUUGGAUAGAGCCUCUGGUAACCAGGCUUGGAGAUUAAUUGCAGUUUCCUGAAAUGCGGGUGAAGGUAUUACCUCGAAUUAAAUUUGAUUAUCACCCUAUCUUAGUUGAACUGAACUAUUCGAGUGAGAGUUGGCAGGGAUCUCCUCGCCCUUUUAGAUUCGAAGCCGCUUGAACCACUCGUAAGAAUUUUGCAGCCUUUCUUAAUGAAAAUUGGCAGGGUCACUUGGAAUUACAUAGCUCUCUCAAGUCAAUGGCUUUGAAAUUUCAGGAGUGGAACAUACAAGUCUUCGGUAAUAUUUUUUUCUCGAAAGAGGAAAGUUCUAGCUCAGAUUGGAGGUAUUCAAAGAGCAGUGACUCAAGGUGUUAAUCCUUUCUUGUUAAACCUGGAAAGAAAAUUAACAGGAGUAUAACCAGAUUUGUUCUCAAGAGGAAAUCCAUUGGUACCAGAAAUCAAGAUUCCAACGGAUUGCUUUUGGAGACAAGAAUCCUUCCUACUUUCACACUAAAACUGUUAUUCAAAGACAAAAGAAUAAAAUCAAGGCUCUUAAAGAUGACAGUAACAAGUGGGUUUGGGAUGAAGAAGUUCUAAAAAGUAUGGCUGUGAAAUUCUUCAAGAAGAUGUUUACGGUUCAGGACAACCACAGUCACAUUCCUCUUGAGGUAUGUUCCCAAGCAUAGAUCAAAUGGGGAAAGAUUUGUUGCAGGCUUCAGUCUCAAAUGAAGAUAUCAUAAAACUUUAUUUGAUAUGAAAACAUACAAAGCUCCUGGUCCAGACGGAUUUCAGCCUUUCUUCUAUCAGUCUCGGUGGCGUUUUAUUGGUUCCUCAGUUUGCAAAUUUAUUCGUCGAAUAUUGGAUGAUUCAGUUGAUUUUGGUUACCAAGUAUCAAAGCAGUUUUGUCCCGAGAAGACAGAUUACAUAUAAUAUUAUUGUGGCUCAGGAGAUCAUUCAUUCCAUGGGAAAAUUGAAAGGGAGGAAAGGGUAUAUGGCUACUAAAGUGGAUUUGGAAAAAGCUUAUAACCGUCUCAAGUUAAUGGGCGUGGGAUUGUCAUCCCAAAUAGUGAAUCUUAUAAUAAAUUGUAUUGAGACUGCUUCUCUUCAAAUUUUGUGGAAUGGUAGUCCUUCUGCUAAUUUUGCUCCAAUGAGAGGGAUUAGACAUGGGGAUCCCUGUAUUUUUAUGUUAUGACCGGAGACUCUCACAUUUGAUUCUUAAGGCAGUGGAUUCAGGAGAUUGGAAGCCAUUUAAUAUCAGUAAAUUGGGACCUUGUAUCUCACACCUGUUGAUCAUAUGCUCCUAUUUUCUGAAGCGAAUGAGGGACAAAUGAAGCAGGUUCUGAAUUGCCUUAACUUCUUUUGUGAAUUUUCUGGCCACGAGGUUAGUGUUGCUAGAACUAAGAUAUUCUUUUCGAAGAAUGUCCCAGCUACUUUAGCAAGAUUAAUUAGUCAUAGUAGUGGUUUUUCUAAUACUGAUAAUCUUGGUAAGUACUUGGGAGUUCCUCCGUUGCAUCAUAGAAUUUCCUAGCAAACUUAUAGCUACAUUGCUAGAGUUACACGCCCGGUGCAGCGGGAUAUCAAGAUUAAAGAGUUACCACCUGAUUUAGAAUUAUUAAAAGAUAAGCUACAUUGUAUACUUUAAAUGUGAUUCAAAGGUGUUGAUAAAUUUUUAAUUGAUGAUCUGUCUAUGAUCUAAAAUAAAAAUUUAUAUUCAUAAAUAAAUUUAGUAUUUUAAAUUUAUUAUACGCUCGUUUUCCACAACUUGUUGCAAUCAUGUUGGUUAAAGCAUCCUUUUGGAAAUUGAUUUGGAAGAGGAAGGGGUCAGAAAGAAUAAAAGCUUUCCUAUGGACAAUUGCCCAUUCACGGAUUAUGACCAAUGAAAAUAGAGUUCAUCACAACAUUGCUUCUGAUCAAUUCUGCCAUAAUUAUAGAUUGGAAACUGAAACUAUUCUUCAUAUUCUGAGGGAUUGUCCUUUAGUCAAAACAGUUUGGAAAUCAUUGCUUAGUCCUAACAAUGUUACUCCCUUCUUCAGUCCAGAGCUCUUGUCGUGGCUCAUCAAUAACUUAUCAUCCCAAAUCAGUUCUGGGGAGGGGUGGCCAUGGGCAACAAUCUUUGGAGCUGCGGUAUGGAACAUUUGGAAAUGGCGUAACCGGAGGAUUUUUAAUAUUGAUAAUUGUCCAAGUUCUAACCCUAUUGUUGCAAUAAAAUCCCUUGUUGCUGACAUUAUGUUAGCUGGUGGGUCUGGUGUAAAUAAUUUAAUAUCCACUAAGCAAGUCAGCAUGGUUGGAUGGAAAUAUCCCCCGGAGCUAGCAUUGGUUGUAGUUGAAUGUUGAUGGCCGGAGCAAAGGUAAUCCAGGAUAUGCUGGUUCAGGGGGCCUCAUUCCAGAUAGUUUGGGUACGUGGGUGAGGGGUUUUUCUAUCAACAUCAGAUUCAGUACUUUUAUUAGAGUUGAGCUAUGGACAGUGAUCACUUAAUUGGAACGGGCUUGGUCUAUGGGUGUUUGUAAAUUAAUUAUAGAAUCAGAUUCUACUCUUACUGUUGAUCUUAUCACGAAGAAUCAGGUGAGAGUUUAUGCGAAUUACAUAUUAUAAAGAAAGCUAAACAACCAUGGAGAUUUCCCUCUAGCUCUAGAUAUAGAUUAUUUUGGAUUGCGAUGGUAAAAUUUACAUGGAUAUGUUAUGUGAUUAAGAGAAUCAUGGGAGUAUUUUAGUAUUUUCA